rnacentral:rRNA from 1 species
AUUGAACGCUGGCGGCAGGCCUAACACAUGCAAGUCGAACGAGUGGCGGACGGGUGAGUAAUGUCUGGGAAACUGCCUGAUGGAGGGGGCUAACUACUGGAAACGGUCGCUAAUACCGCAUACCAUCGGAUGUUCCCAGAUGGGAUUAGCUAGUAGGUGGGGUAAAGGCUCACCUAGGCGACGAUCCCUAGCUGGUCUGAGAGGAUGACCAGCCAAACGGGAACUGAGAAACGGUCCAGACUCCUACGGGAGGCAGCAGUGGGGAAUAUUGCACAAUGGGCGAAAGCCUGAUGAAGCCAUGCCGCGUGUAUGAAGAAGGCCGUCGGGUGGUAAAGUACUUUCAGCGGGGAGGCGUUACCCGAAGAAGAAGCACCGGCUAACUCCGUGCCAGCAGCCGCGGUAAUAC